AAAGAAUUAGUUAAAAUAUAACAUAAAUAUGUCAAAUUUAAAUUAUUAAAAUCCAUAAUAUUCUUUU
rnacentral:tRNA from 1 species